CGGCGGACGGGUGAGUAACACGUGUGUAACCUACCUAUAAGACUGGGAUAACUUCGGGAAACCGGAGCUAAUACCGGAUAAUAUUUCGAACCGCAUGGUUCGAUAGUGAAAGAUGGUUUUGCUAUCACUUAUAGAUGGACCUGCGCCGUAUUAGCUAGUUGGUAAGGUAACGGCUUACCAAGGCGACGAUACGUAGCCGACCUGAGAGGGUGAUCGGCCACACUGGAACUGAGACACGGUCCAGACUCCUACGGGAGGCAGCAGCG
rnacentral:rRNA from 1 species